rnacentral:rRNA from 1 species
UACGUAGGGUGCGAGCGUUGUCCGGAAUUAUUGGGCGUAAAGAGCUCGUAGGCGGUCUGUCGCGUCGGAUGUGAAAAUCAGGGCUCAACCCUGGACCUGCAUUCGAUACGGGCAGACUAGAGUUCGGCAGGGGAGACUGGAAUUCCUGGUGUAGCGGUGAAAUGCGCAGAUAUCAGGAAGAACACCCGUGGCGAAGGCGGCUCUCUGGACAGUUCCUGACACUGAGGCACGAAGGCCAGGGGAGCAAACGGG